UACGGAGGGUGCAAGCGUUAUCCGGAUUCACUGGGUUUAAAGGGAGCGUAGGUGGGCUGGUAAGUCAGUGGUGAAAUCUCCGGGCUUAACCCGGAAACUGCCGUUGAUACUAUCAGUCUUGAAUGUUGUGGAGGUAAGCGGAAUAUGUCAUGUAGCGGUGAAGUGCUUAGAUAUGACAUAGAACACCGAUAGCGAAGGCAGCUUGCUACACAAUGAUUGACACUGAGGCUCGAAAGCGUGGGGAUCAAACAGG
rnacentral:rRNA from 1 species